rnacentral:rRNA from 1 species
CUACGGGUCGCUCCAGUGAGGAAUAUUGCACAAUGGGGGGAACCCUGAUGCAGCAACGCCGCGUGGAGGAUAACGCAUUUCGGUGUGUAAACUCCUUUUAUAUGUCAAGAAAAUGACGGUAGCAUAUGAAUAAGCACCGGCUAACUCCGCGCCAGCAGCCGCGGUAAUACGGAGGGUGCAAGCGUUACUCGGAAUCACUGGGCGUAAAGGACGCGUAGGCGGGUUGGAAAGUCAGGUGUGAAAUCCUACAGCUUAACUGUAGAACUGCACUUGAAACUUCUAAUCUAGAGUAUGGGAGGGGGAGAUGGAAUUAGUGGUGUAGGGGUAAAAUCCGUAGAUAUCACUAGGAAUACCUAAAGCGAAGGCGAUCUCCUGGAACAUUACUGACGCUAAGGCGUGAAAGCGUGGGGAGCAAACAGGAUUAGAUACCCUCGUAGUC